CUAAGCAUAGUACGAACUGGAGGUGCUAGACAUUAAUUUAAAGCACACUAAGUACAGAUAGAGUGGCAGAUCUGCAGCUUCCCAGAAAUAUCGGACUACUGCUAAAUCGCCUAAUUAAAUCAGCAUGUUAUUUAUUUAACACUAGCAUGGCACGUAAGGCCUUUUGGCCCACAAGCCUGUGUCGGCACCGCUUGGACCAGCAGGUCAAAAGGGGAACGAGGAGCAGUGGAUAAGGUUCAGGCCUGUACGAGCGCCGCCUCCCCAUAUUUUCCUAUCGCCCCUUCAUGCUUCGUGCCGGCACCGUGGGUCCGUGGCCACCAGCGACUUCAGCGUUGGCUCGUCCCCUCGGAAGGGUCGUCGGGGCGCAGUUCUCCCAAGCGGUUGGUGAGGCUAAGGAGCGCCAGGGACUGUGGGCACGUCUCGAAAUCAUGGCGCAGGCAGUAGUAUACCGGCGGAAGGUGUGCCGCGACCGCGAGUUCCACGCUGCCGGAGUCGUGCACGGGCUCGUCGUCGAACUCGCGCUCUGGUCGUAGAUGAGCCAUCCGGCGCUGGGUCCGCCCAGCAGCCACUCCAUAGGCCGAACGGCGGAUUCAGGAGGCAGCGGCACUAGUUGUCGGCGUCCGCGCUGAAGUUGGAGGCAGAGGCCUCAUUCUGCAUUCGGCACUGCGGAAGUUUCCGGCGCGGCAGCGGCCCUGAUACUUGGUCCAGGGGCUCCAGGGUAGUUGCGGCGCUGCACCCAGCGGUUGCUGCGAAGGCGGCGGCGGCCGCCAGGCGGCGCCGGGGUAGCCAAAGGUUUCCGCAGUGGCGGAGGCGGCGGUGGAGGCCGUCGUUUCUGUCCGGACGACCGUGACAGCGAAGGCUUAAUGCCCGGCGACCGUCGGAGUUCCAUCGGCGAGUAGCAGCGAGAGCGAAAUUCCGGCGAGGAAAACGAGAGUGCCGGUGCUCUCUGGCCACAAAGCGAAGGAACAAGCAACAUCCGGCAAGAAAAUCAUCAGUUUCUCACCUUUCUUCUCCGUUCUCUCCUGUAGCCUAUUUGCUCUAGUCAGAACAGUGCUUGAUAACGUGAAGAGAGUAUAGAGAAAUGAAGUGAAAGAGUGAUUUCAUUGAUAAUGACUGUAGGCUUUUAUAUGACCUGAAUAGUCGCAAGUACAUGUCUGUUACAAUAGUCGCGUCAUUUAGAAAAGGCACGACGAUAAUUAGAAAGACACAGCGUAUGGACAAAGCCAAUAUUCUAACUGCUAGAUAGAAUAUUCUAAGGAAUAUGCUAAUUGCCUAAUUACUCUAAAUCUAAAGAUAUUUUAUUUCUAACACUAUUUAUCUAAACAUGCAGGCUAUCCACGUCAUCAAUCAUGCCAUGUCAGUAAAAACUGUUCCAUCGUCUGCCGUGUCAGCAAACGUCGAGUGAAAAGAAAUUAAUGUCGCGUCCGGUUCCAACGCAGUCCAUUCGCUUCCCCUUCCACCGUCCGUAACCGAUGAGUAAAUCGAAUCUAAUGUCGACGCCACCGCAUGCGGUACUGCUCCCCUUUCCCUUCAUCCUCCGCGAAAGUGACCCAGCGAGGCGCCGCAACGUUGCCGAAGUGCCGAGCGAGGGCGACUCCCGGUGAUCCAGGCACGCCAUCCGCUGUGACCCCGGUGAGCCGCCCCGCCAUCCUGGAGACAUCGCACUGACCCCGCUACCCCGCGUCCCCAUUGGCGCCGACACGUGUGACCUUGGCGAGUCAACCCGCAACCCUCGACGCGCGAUGCUGCUCCGGCAACCCUGGCUAACUGCGUGUCCACUCUUCCACCGAUCCCUCUACAUGCUGUUCAGACGGAGGUCACUGCCUUGAGCGCCUUGUGAUCACCGCAGGUCAACUUAUACUCGCACCCCAUUGCAGGUAAAUCGAGACCCGCGGGCUCCGACGGCCCAUGAUCGCGCUCCGGCGUCAACCAGAGAUCCUGGUGAGGCCACACGUGCCACCCUCGGUGUCCUCCCUCAACAACACCUGCACCAAAGAAGAAAGCUCUAUUCCAAUCUCCAGCAACUUCCUCCGUGGCAGCAUGUCUGGUCUCGAGCACUGCGGGCAAGCAUUUGUUAAGGGAGGCACCACGGAUUCAUGCUCAUGUCUCCAAUCCAGUUGGUUUUGAUUGGAAGCACUAGAUGGUAUGUUGCUGCCUAGCAGUAUUAUUCCACUGUGAUGACAUGAGACCGAUCUAAUACGUGACUGGUAUCAAUGUGUGGCUGACAUUGUCGUUCUUCUACUAAAAGGUUCACAGCCGAAGGAUUUUUUUUCAGCUGCUAGGUGCUUCAUGAUUUGCCUCUUCUGUGGAAAUAAGUUUCAUGCGCAUCAAAGCGAGAAGGUAAAUCUAGUUGAAUGCCUGUGUGUUGCCAUGGAAUCACAAACUUGGAGGAAGCGGUGCGUGACGGCGGCGACCUCGUUCCCCGAAGGCGGCGGCGGCUCCUGGAGGAAGCGGUGCGUGACGGCGGCGACCUCGUUCCCCGGAGGCGGCGCUUCUCUCGGGGCUGGGGCAUCUCCUCUCGGCGGCGGCGGUGGCGGCAGUGGCUCCUCUUGGGGCUGGGGCGUCUCCUCACGGCGGCGGCUCCUCUCGGGGCUGGAGGCUAAGAUGAAACAGAUCGAGAUUGAGGGAGCCUCGUUGGCUGUUCGUUUUACGUGCGGGGUGAGAUACAAAAGAAAAACCAGACGAAAAAAUUCUACGAAGGUUAACCUACGAAAAAAAACUGGACGAAAGUGGUGGGACGAAAAUUGACCGGCGGAGACUACCAAUUGCUUCAUUAGAAGUAGAGAUACGUACUAAAAUGGACUGUACUUUUUCCUACUCAUGAACCAUGCCAUUUUGCAGACCUUUGGUUAUUCUAAUCAUGGUCGACAAUCCAAGCUAAUACCUGCUUUGGAGUAUUAACGCCGAAAGGCUUGUGGUUUACCAUGAAAUUUCUUUGUUUUUUAUCCUUAUGCACUUCUAACAGGCAACCAAGUUGUAUUAUAUUGUAUUGUUAUGAGAAAAAUCUUAUCAAACUAUAUGUUUCUUCAUUUCAUGUUAGGGAUGUA